UGGGUAAUAUUGGACAAUGGAGGGAACUCUGAUCCAGCAAUUCUUUGUGUGUGAAGAAGGUUUUAGGACUGUAAAACACUUUUAGUAGGGAAGAAAAAAAUGACGCUACCUACAGAAGAAGCAACGGCUAAAUACGUGCCAGCAGCCGCGGUAAUACGUAUGUUGCGAGCGUUAUCCGGAAUUAUUGGGCUUAAAGGGCAUCUAGGCGGUAAGACAAGUUGAAGGUGAAAACCUGUGGCUCAACCAUAGGCUUGCCUACAAAACUGUUGAACUAGAGUACUGGAAAGGUGGGUGGAACUACACGAGUAGAGGUGAAAUUCGUAGAUAUGUGUAGGAAUGCCGAUGAUGAAGAUAACUCACUGGACAGAAACUGACGCUGAAGUGCGAAAGCUAGGGGAGCAAACAGG
rnacentral:rRNA from 1 species